UGGCGGCGUGCUUACACAUGCAAGUCGAGCGAUGAACACCUUCGGGUGUGAAUUAGCGGCGAACGGGUGAGGAACACGUGAGAAAUCUGCCUUCAACACUGGGAUAACUCCGGGAAACCGGGGCUAAUACCGGAUAUGAGAUCUACAGGCAUCUGUGGAUCUGGAAAGUUUUUCGGUUGAAGAUGAUCUCGCGGCCUAUCAGCUAGUUGGUGAGGUAAUGGCUCACCAAGGCGACGACGGGUAGCCGGCCUGAGAGGGCGACCGGCCACACUGGGACUGAGACACGGCCCAGACUCCUACGGGAGGCAGCAGUGGGGAAUAUUGGGCAAUGGAGGAAACUCUGACCCAGCGACGCCGCGUGCGGGAUGAAGGCCUUCGGGUUGUAAACCGCUUUCAGCAGGGAAGAAGCGAAAGUGACGGUACCUGCAGAAGAAGCACCGGCUAACUAUGUGCCAGCAGCCGCGGUAAUACAUAGGGUGCAAGCGUUGUCCGGAAUUAUUGGGCGUAAAGAGCUCGUAGGUGGUUCGUCACGUCGGAUGUGAAAAUCUGGGGCUUAACCCCAGACCUGCAUUCGAUACGGGCGAGCUUGAGUAUGGUAGGGGAGUCUGGAAUUCCUGGUGUAGCGGUGGAAUGCGCAGAUAUCAGGAGGAACACCAAUGGCGAAGGCAGGACUCUGGGCCAUUACUGACACUGAGGAGCGAAAGCGUGGGGAGCGAACAGGAUUAGAUACCCUGGUAGUCCACGCCGUAAACGGUGGGCACUAGUUGUGGGGACCUUCCACGGUCUCUGCGACGCGGCUAACGCAUUAAGUGCCCCGCCUGGGGAGUACGAUCGCAAGAUUAAAACUCAAAUGAAUUGACGG
rnacentral:rRNA from 1 species